rnacentral:misc_RNA from 1 species
GAUGAAGAACGCAGCGAAAUGCGAUAAGUAGUGUGAAUUGCAGAAUUCAGUGAAUCAUCGAAUCUUUGAACGCACAUUGCGCCCCUUGGUAUUCCAUGGGGCAUGCCUGUUCGAGCGUCAUUUGUACCUUCAAGCUCUGCUUGGUGUUGGGUGUUUGUCUCGCCUCUGCGUGUAGACUCGCCUCAAAACAAUUGGCAGCCGGCGUAUUGAUUUCGGAGCGCAGUACAUCUUGCGCUUUGCACUCAUAACGACGACGUCCAAAAGUACAUUUUUACACUCUUGACCUCGGAUCAGGUAGGGAUACCCGCUGAACUUAAGCAUAUCAAUAAGCGGAGGA